UACGGAGGAUCCAAGCGUUAUCCGGAUUUAUUGGGUUUAAAGGGUGCGUAGGCGGAUUGAUAAGUUAGAGGUGAAAUGUCCGAGCUCAACUCGGGAACUGCCUCUAAUACUGUUGAUCUAGAGAGUAGAUGCGGUAGGCGGAAUGUAUGGUGUAGCGGUGAAAUGCUUAGAGAUCAUACAGAACACCGAUUGCGAAGGCGGCCUGCUGGGCUUUUACUGACGCUGAGGCUCGAAAGUGUGGGGAGCAAACAGG
rnacentral:rRNA from 1 species